rnacentral:rRNA from 1 species
UGGGGAAUAUUGCACAAUGGGGGAAACCCUGAUGCAGCCAUGCCGCGUGUGUGAAGAAGGCCUUCGGGUUGUAAAGCACUUUCAGUAGGGAGGAAGGUAGUGUAGUUAACACCUGCAUUAUUUGACGUUACCUACAGAAGAAGCACCGGCUAACUCCGUGCCAGCAGCCGCGGUAAUACGGAGGGUGCGAGCGUUAAUCGGAAUUACUGGGCGUAAAGCGCAUGCAGGCGGCCUGUUAAGUCAGAUGUGAAAGCCCGGGGCUUAACCUCGGAAUUGCAUUUGAAACUGGCAGGCUAGAGUCUUGUAGAGGGGGGUAGAAUUUCAGGUGUAGCGGUGAAAGUGCGUAGAGAUCUGAAGGAAAUACCAGUGGCGAAGGGCGGCCCCCUGGACAAAGACUGACGCUCAGAUGCGAAAGCGUGGGGAGCAAACAGGAUUAGAUACCCUGGUAGUCCACGCCGUAAACGAUGUCUACUUGGAGGUUGUGGCCUUGAGCCGUGGCUUUCGGAGCUAACGCGUUAAGUAGACCGCCUGGGGAGUACGGUAGCAAGAUUAAAACUCAAAUGAAUU